UUGUUGUCUGAGGCAGUGUUUAAUCACCAGGCACUUUGCACAGCUGAAAUGGCCCUGUUUUGCUGGGAAGCUUGACCUAACAGGAUUCUAUCAGCGUCCCUGGCCUCUCUCUAUUAAUGUUUCAGCUGCGUUAUGAAUCACAGGCUACAGUUAUGAAUCACAGGCUACAAAGGGCACCGAAUAUCAGGAGCUCAGGAUUCCAGGCCAGCUCUCCUUUCCCACAGCAAACACAGAUAGAGAGCCUCGCUGUGCAAAUGACAUUUUAUUCUGAUGGGACAAUUACUAUUUAGGGAUACUUUCAUUUCUCACGUCAUUGGAAAGGCUUUAGGUUAUUACUAAGAUAAGUGUUAUCUAACUUACCAUUUUUAAAGUUUUUGGCCCAAGGAGGCAUAAGCUAAAUGUUAUAGAAUAUAAAUAGCAGUUUAUAUGCAACUGAAAAGUUUGAUACUUUUCCAAGUGGUAGUGCUAUACUGAAACAUGCUGGUUAAGACUAAGCUUAGGGGCCCGAGAGGUGGCUCAAGGGUUAAGAGCUUUUGUUGUUCUGUCAGAGGACCUGUGUUCAAUUCUCAGCACCCACCUGAUGGCUCAUAGUGACCUAUCAGUCUAAUUCCAGGGGAUCUGAUGCCCUCUUCUUACUUUCUUGGGCACCAGGCACACAUGUGACACAUGCAGGCAAAACACCCACAUACAUAAAAAGUAGAAGGAACUGAGCAUAGAAUACAGAUGUUAACUAACACACAUGGCUAAAAUAGACUUCCUUGAAGCCAAGACAUUAAACAAAUAUCUAAUUUUAUCAGAGGAGAAACCUGUGACUUGGGAAACUAUAUCAGUGCUUGCAAGGAUUGUUGAUAUGGUUUGGCACUUUGAUAGAGGUAUGAUAAACAAAACAAUUACAGCCAUCAGUUUGAGUGGCAGCCAUCUUGACGUCAUAGCUUGCAUAGCUGUCAUUCUCAAACAUGAGUGAGCCCUGAAAUACCCAGAAGGUCUUUUAAAAUUCAGGUGGCUGAGCCCCAAUCCCAGAGUUUCUGAUUCAGUAAGUUAGGUGGGGAGCCUCAAAUAUGCAUCUCCACAAAUCCUCAGGUGCUGCCGGGAGUGCCAGCUUAGCACCACAAAGGGAAUCCCGGACCCACAUGUGUGUUAUGUGGGUAAAUCUCAAGCUCGUAUGCAUGUGCUAAGUAUGUAUGACAUUUAUUGUCAACUUGACACAACUUGGAGUCACCUGGAGUCUUAGUUACUCUUCUCUUUCUGUGUUAACACACCAUGACCAAAAAUAACUUAGGGAGGAAAGGGUCUGUUUCACACUAUGACUCUGAGGUCACACCCCCGUUGUUGAUGGAAGUCAUGUCAGGGACUCAAGGCAGGUAGCUGAGGUAGAAGCCAAGGAGGAACCCUGCUUAUUGGCAUGCUCCCCAUUACUUGCUCAGCCUGCUUUGUCACACGAGUUAAAACCACCUGCGCCGCGCGAGGGUGGCACAGCCUACUGUGGGCUGGCUGCUCCCAUGACAACCAUCAAUUAAGAAAGUACCCUACAGAUUUGCCUUUAGGUGAUGUGAUGGAAGCAUUUUCUCAAUUGAUCUUUCCUUUCUCAGGCAAUUCUAGCUUGUGCCAAGUUGAUAAAAAGCAAGCAAAUACAACCAGGACACUUGGGAAGGAGAGUCUUACUGAGGAUUUACCUAUAUCAGUUUGGCUUGUAGGACUCUAGGGAAUUAUUCUGAUUGUGUUAAAUGAUGUAGAAGGACCCAGUCCAUUUGGGCAGCAUCAUUGCUAGUUCGGGGUCCCAGAACCACACGAGAGGAGAAAGCCAGCUGCCGUGAGUAUGUGGAUAAGGAAGGAGGCAUUUAUUCUGUUCUUUCUGAUCUUGACUGUGGACACGAUGUGACCAGCUGCACCAGGUUCCUGUUUUGACUUCCCUGGAUGACGAACCACAGAUGGGAGUUGUAAACCAAACAAAUCUCUUUCUACACAAAGUUGCUUGUUGUGGGGUAUUUUAUCACAGCAGCAGAAAUAAGAUUAGAAAGCUGUUAAAAUAAGGAAGGAAAACGAAUGCAUUCACUUGAGAAAAUAAUGCAGUGACUGUUUGACCUUGGGUACAGUGUGAUGUGAUUGUUAAGAGCAGACUCGGAAGUUAAACAGCCCAAAGCCAACUCUAGUGUACUGCCAGCCAGACAUUUAGACCAAAUACUGGAUUCCUAAAUUCUCAUCUUGAGAGUCUACAUUUACAGAGUCCCUGUAAGAAUUAAGUAGUACUAGUCACAUAAACACAAAUGCAUACCAAAUGCUCUGCUGAACCUGGCUUCUGUUACCAUUUGGUGAGCACCUUCAUGAACAGCUUUGUGUUUAGAGCACUUUUGUUUGAUAGCCGAUGCAGACGGCUUGGAGUCUCAGACCACCUAAACACUAGCCUCACUGAAAUAAUCAAGGGUUUUUGAUUCUUAGUCAAUAGACAUUUGACACGCAGGGUGCACGCACAAGGGGUAUGAACCUUUCUGGUCACCGUAUCCAUUCUGCUAGGAAAUUCUAUACUGAGCAUUAAGGCAAGAAAGUGCUGGUUUUGAGAAGACAUCGCCAGCAUAUCCUCAGACACACUGAGAAACAACCGCCGAAAACACUUACAAAUGAUACAGAGAAAAGUAUGCCUGUUUCUGUUUUAAUUGUCCACAAGGGUCUACUUCUGUUGUUAAAGCUGGUGCUGUUUCUUGUUAGGGUCUCUCAUUUAGUUGCCGACAAAUACUUGUUGAGAAUUGCCUACUGUGCUGGUUUCUAUGUUGAAAACGAUGCUUCAGAUUUCUUUCCUUUCUGUCCCUUCUCUUCUUUGUUCUUCUCUCCCACCUUCGCUCCCUCCCUUCCCCACUGGCGGCUCAUUGUCGUGUGGCAUCGAGAGGAAAACCAUUGGAUACAAUUCCGGAACUGUCCACCAAGAGACGGCACCAUUUGAGACUAUACCGUACUUUGUUCCCCAUCUUGAAAAGAAAAUGAGAAACCAUGAUUCAGUAUCUCGGAGGACUCUUUGAGACUCACCUGGGCAGAGAACUCUCAGAGCACAUUGGAAGGUGUAUUUUGUAAGACACCAUGAGGAAGCUGAAAACUAUUUUCCAAAGUGCACUGUGUUUGCUUAAGGGCACACCCGCACAGCCAGUGGAAGCUGCUGGUCUCUGGAAUCAGAACAACUUACCACAGGAGCUCUUUGGAUCCAGUUCUAGAUGAGCAUGACUUCCUUUCAGCCAUGAGAUGCCCCUUGCUGGUUCGGUC